UACGUAGGGGGCGAGCGUUGUCCGGAUUUAUUGGGCGUAAAGAGCUCGUAGGCGGCUUGGCAAGUCGGGUGUGAAACCUCCAGGCUCAACCUGGAGACGCCACUCGAUACUGCCAUGGCUAGAGUCCGGUAGGGGAACACGGAAUUCCUGGUGUAGCGGUGAAAUGCGCAGAUAUCAGGAGGAACACCGGUGGCGAAGGCGGUGGUCUGGGCCGGCACUGACGCUGAGGAGCGAAAGCGUGGGUAGCAAACAGG
rnacentral:rRNA from 1 species